CCUACGGGCGGCAGCAGUAGGGAAUCUUUCACAAUGGGCGAAAGCCUGAUGGAGCAACGCCGCGUGCAGGAUGAAGGCCUUCGGGUUGUAAACUGCUUUUAUAAGCGAGGAAUAUGAUGGUAACUUAUGAAUAAGGAUCGGCUAACUACGUGCCAGCAGCCGCGGUCAUACGUAGGAUCCGAGCAUUAUCCGGAGUGACUGGGUGUAAAGAGUUGCGUAUGUGGCAUAAUAAGUAGCUAGUGAAAUCUGGUGGCUCAACCAUUCAGACUAUUAGCUAAACUGUUAAGCUCGAGACCGUUAGGGGUAACUGGAAUUUCUAGUGUAGGGGUGAAAUCCGUAGAUAUUAGAAGGAACACCAAUGGCGUAGGCAGGUUGCUGGGACGGUUCUGACACUAAGGCACGAAAGCGUAGGGAGCAAACGGGAUUAGAUACCCUUGUAGUC
rnacentral:rRNA from 1 species